rnacentral:rRNA from 1 species
UUCGCCCUACGGGAGGCAGCAGUGGGGGAUAUUGCACAAUGGGGGGAACCCUGAUGCAGCGACGCCGCGUGGGUGAAGGAGCGUUUCGGCGCGUAAAGCCCUAUCGGCAGGGAAGAAGAUGACGGUACCUGACCAAGAAGCCCCGGCUAGCUACGUGCCAGCAGCCGCGGUAAUACGUAGGGGGCAAGCGUUAUCCGGAUUUACUGGGGGGUAAGGGGGCGCAGGAGGCAAUGCAAGCCAGGAGUGAAAGCCCGGGGACCAACCCCGGGACUGCUCUUGGAACUGC